rnacentral:misc_RNA from 1 species
UACGAAGGGGGCGAGCGUUGUUCGGAAUUACUGGGCGUAAAGCGCAUGUAGGCGGAUUUUUAAGUCAGUGGUGAAAUCCUUGGGCUCAACCCGAGACCUGCCAUUGAUACUGGAAGUCUGGAGUCUGGGAGAGGUGAGUGGAAUUCCGAGUGUAGAGGUGAAAUUCGUAGAUAUUCGGAGGAACAUCAGUGGCGAAGGCGGCUCACUGGCCCAAGACUGACGCUCAGAUGCGAAAGCGUGGGGAUCAAACAGG